rnacentral:rRNA from 1 species
AUUGAACGCUGGCGGCAGGCUUAACACAUGCAAGUCGAGCGAGCGGCGGACGGGUGAGUAAUGUCUGGGAAACUGCCCGAUGGAGGGGGAUAACUACUGGAAACGGUAGCUAAUACCGCAUACCAUCAGAUGUGCCCAGAUGGGAUUAGCUAGUAGGUGGGGUAAUGGCUCACCUAGGCGACGAUCCCUAGCUGGUCUGAGAGGAUGACCGGCCACACGGGAACGGGGACACGGUCCAGACUCCUACGGGAGGCAGCGGUGGGAAAUAUUGCACAAUGGGCGAAAGCCUGAUGCGGCCAGGCCGGGUGUGUGAAGAGGGCCUUCGGGUUGUAAAGCACUUUCAGAGAGGAGGCGUUACUCAAAGAGGAAGCACCGGCUAACUCCGUGCCAGCAGCCGCGGUAAUUC